UUCAACUGCAGUAGCACUAUGAAUACACAAGAUGUUCCUAAUUGAUCACUGAAGUUAAGCAACGUUGCGCGUGCUUAGUGUGCGGAUGAGUGAUCAUUUGUGCAAUCUCGUGCUGGCU
rnacentral:rRNA from 1 species